UUGAUAUUUCCGUCGCCGGUGCAGACGUCGCGACCUGUUCGUCGUCGGUCCUUGCUCGGAGGAAUCGCGAUCGAGUUCGUUGCGGGGCGUGUUUCGGCGCGUCUCGCGACGAAGGCGCGACUCUCUGGCUGACGACGGACAGUAAGCAACGGUGGCCGGCGCGGUGUCUCGCACUCCGCGUCCGGUGCCGGUCAGCGACGAUUUCUUCGGGCCUCUUUCCGACCCGUCUUGAAACACGGACCAAGGAGUCUAACAUGCGCGCGAGUCGCGGGGUUUCGAGCGUACCACGGUGCGCUCGUUACUUCCGAAACCCGUACGUUGAAGGCGUAAUGAAAGUGAACAGGGAAGAUGGCGUUCCGAGUCCACGAACCGUGAUCGAGUAUCGCGGCCGGACGCCCGCACUCCCGGGGCGUCUUAAUGGCUCGUCGCGGACGCGGACGGUCGUUCUUCGGGGCGGCCGUCGGUCUGCGACGGACCGAGGCGCACCUAUAGCGUGCACGUUGGUACCCGAAAGAUGGUGAACUAUGCCUGGCCAGGAUGAAGUCAGGGGAAACCCUGAUGGAGGU
rnacentral:rRNA from 1 species